rnacentral:rRNA from 1 species
AACGUAGGAGGCAAGCGUUAUCCGGAGUUACUGGGCGUAAAGCGCGUGCAGGUGGAUAAGUAAGUUACUCAUGAAAGCUCCCGGCUAAACUGGGAGAGGUUGAGUAAAACUGCUUGUCUAGAGUGGAUGAGAGGUAAGUAGAAUUCCUUGUGUAGUGGUGAAAUGCGUAGAUAUAAGGAAGAAUACCAGUGGCGAAGGCGACUUACUGGCAUCCAACUGACACUCAGACGCGAAAGCAUGGGUAGCGAACGGG